CUUGACCUCGGAUCAGGUAGGGAUACCCGCUGAACUUAAGCAUAUCAAUAAGCGGAGGAAAAGAAACCAACAGGGAUUGCCCUAGUAACGGCGAGUGAAGCGGCAACAGCUCAAAUUUGAAAUCUGGCGUCUUCGGCGUCCGAGUUGUAAUUUGCAGAGGGCGCUUUGGCAUUGGCAGCGGUCCAAGUUCCUUGGAACAGGACGUCACAGAGGGUGAGAAUCCCGUACGUGGUCGCUAGCCUUUACCGUGUAAAGCCCCUUCGACGAGUCGAGUUGUUUGGGAAUGCAGCUCUAAAUGGGAGGUAAAUUUCUUCUAAAGCUAAAUACUGGCCAGAGACCGAUAGCGCACAAGUAGAGUGAUCGAAAGAUGAAAAGCACUUUGGAAAGAGAGUUAAAAAGCACGUGAAAUUGUUGAAAGGGAAGCGCUUGCAGCCAGACUUGCCUGUAGUUGCUCAUCCGGGUUUCUACCCGGUGCACUCUUCUAUAGGCAGGCCAGCAUCAGUUUGGGCGGUUGGAUAAAGGUCUCUGUCAUGUACCUCUCUUCGGGGAGAACUUAUAGGGGAGACGACAUGCAACCAGCCUGGACUGAGGUCCGCGCAUC
rnacentral:rRNA from 1 species